rnacentral:rRNA from 1 species
UACGGAGGGUGCGAGCGUUGUCCGGAAUCACUGGGCGUAAAGGGCGCGUAGGCGGCCUGAUAAGUAGGGGGUGAAAUCCUGCGGCUUAACCGCAGGGCUGCCUUCUAAACUGUCAGGCUCGAGCACAGUAGAGGCAGGUGGAAUUCCCGGUGUAGCGGUGGAAUGCGUAGAGAUCGGGAAGAACAUCAGUGGCGAAGGCGGCCUGCUGGGCUGUUGCUGACGCUGAGGUGCGAAAGCGUGGGGAGCAAACAGG